UCUGAAUCUGCGAACGGCUCCGCAAACCAGUUGUAAACUAUAGCAAGCAAGCUCAGGGCUGGCCUUCACUGGCCGGCUCGGGGCGAUAUGGAUAACCCUGGUAAUUCUGAGGCUAAUACAAGAGUGUAAACCUUGGAGGACCGGCUUCGGCUGGGAAUCUGGGGGAUGUGCGAUUGCAGGCUUGGUAACACCGGGAAAGGGCGCACGUUCAGAUCACGCUAAAAAGGUCGGGCUCCUUCGGGGGCCUGCCCCAGUGACUCUUGCUGUGUGCUUCUGACCUAUCAACUAGACGGCAGCGUAAGGGACAUGCUAUGGU
rnacentral:rRNA from 1 species